rnacentral:rRNA from 1 species
GACGAACGCUGGCGGCGUGCUUAACACAUGCAAGUCGAACGAAGUGGCGAACGGGUGAGUAACGCGUAAUCAACCUGCCCUUCAGAGGGGCACAACAGUUGGAAACGACUGCUACUACCGCAUCCGGAAGGAGGGGAUUGCGUCUGAUUAGCUCGGUGGAGGGGUAACGGCCCACAAAGGAGAUGAUCAGGAGUCGGGCGGGGCGGAUGAGCGGCACAAUCGUGACUGAGGCACGGCCCAGACUGCUACGGGAGGCAGCAGUGGGGAAUCUUCCGCAAUGGACGAAAGUCUGACGGAGCAACGCCGGGUGAGUGAUGACGGCCGUCUGGUUGUAAAGCUCUGUUAAUCGGGACGCGGUACCGGAAUAGAAAGCCACGGCUAACUACGUGCCAGCAGUCGCGGUAAUAC